rnacentral:rRNA from 1 species
AGCGGCGAACGGGUGAGUAACACGUGGGUAACCUGCCCUGUACUCCGGGAUAAGCCUGGGAAACUAGGUCUAAUACCGGAUACGACCCCAUGGGGCAUCUUGUGGGGUGGAAAGUUCCGGCGGUAUGGGAUGGACCCGCGGCCUAUCAGCUUGUUGGUGGGGUGAUGGCCUACCAAGGCGACGACGGGUAGCCGGCCUGAGAGGGUGACCGGCCACACUGGGACUGAGACACGGCCCAGACUCCUACGGGAGGCAGCAGUGGGGAAUAUUGCACAAUGGGCGAAAGCCUGAUGCAGCGACGCCGCGUGAGGGAUGACGGCCUUCGGGUUGUAAACCUCUUUCAGCAGGGACGAAGCGCGAGUGACGGUACCUGCAGAAGAAGCACCNGGCUAACUACGUGCCAGCAGCCGCGGUAAUACGUAGGGUGCGAGCGUUGUCCNGGAAUUAUUGGGCGUAAAGAGCUCGUAGGCGGUUUGUUGCGUCGGCCGUGAAAACUUCACGCUUAACGUGGAGCCUGCGGUCGAUACGGGCAGACUUGAGUUCGGCAGGGGAGACUGGAAUUCCUGGUGUAGCGGUGAAAUGCGCAGAUAUCAGGAGGAACACCGGUGGCGAAGGCGGGUCUCUGGGCCGAUACUGACGCUGAGGAGCGAAAGCGUGGGGAGCGAACAGGAUUAGAUACCCUGGUAGUCCACGCCGUAAACGGUGGGUGCUAGGUGUGGGGGGCUUCCACGUCCUCCGUGCCGCAGCUAACGCAUUAAGCACCCCGCCUGGGGAGUACGGCCGCAAGGCUAAAACUCAAAGGAAUUGACGGGGGCCCGCACAAGCGGCGGAGCAUGUGGAUUAAUUCGAUGCAACGCGAAGAACCUUACCUGGGCUUGACAUGCACCGGAAACCUCCAGAGAUGGGGGCCUCUUCGGACUGGUGUACAGGUGGUGCAUGGCUGUCGUCAGCUCGUGUCGNGAGAUGUUGGGUUAAGUCCCGCAACGAGCGCAACCCUCGUUCCAUGUUGCCAGCGCGUAAUGGCGGGGACUCAUGGGAGACUGCCGGGGUCAACUCGGAGGAAGGUGGGGAUGACGUCAAGUCAUCAUGCCCCUUAUGUCCAGGGCUUCACACAUGCUACAAUGGCCGGUACAGAGGGCUGCUAAGCCGUGAGGUGGAGCGAAUCCCAAAAAGCCGGUCUCAGUUCGGAUCGGGGUCUGCAACUCGACCCCGUGAAGUCGGAGUCGCUAGUAAUCGCAGAUCAGCAACGCUGCGGUGAAUACGUUCCCGGGCCUUGUACACACCGCCCGUCACGUCACGAAAGUCGGUAACACCCGAAGCCCGUGGCCCAACCCG